rnacentral:rRNA from 1 species
GGGCUUGACAUCCCACGAACCUGCCCGAAAGGGUAGGGUGCCCGCAAGGGAGCGUGGAGACAGGUGGUGCAUGGCUGUCGUCAGCUCGUGUCGUGAGAUGUUGGGUUAAGUCCCGCAACGAGCGCGACCCUCACCCCUUGUUGCCACCGGGUCAUGCCGAGCACUCUAGGGGAACUGCCAGCGUCAAGCUGGAGGAAGGCGGGGAUGACGUCAAGUCAUCAUGCCCCUUACGCCCUGGGCGACACACGUGCUACAAUGGCUGGUACAAAGGGAUGCAAGACCGCGAGGUGGAGCUAAUCCCAGAAAACCGGUCUAAGUUCAGAUUGCAGUCUGCAACUCGACUGCAUGAAGGAGGAAUCGCUAGUAAUCGCGCAUCAGCACGGCGCGGUGAAUACGUUCCCGGGCCUUGUACACACCGCCCAUCACACCACGAAAGCCGGCUGUACUCGAAGUCGCUGAG